rnacentral:rRNA from 1 species
ACUCCUACGGGAGGCAGCAGUGGGGAAUUUUGGACAAUGGGCGCAAGCCUGAUCCAGCAAUGCCGCGUGCAGGAUGAAGGCCUUCGGGUUGUAAACUGCUUUUGUACGGAACGAAAAGUCUUGGGUUAAUACCCUGGGAUCAUGACGGUACCGUAAGAAUAAGCACCGGCUAACUACGUGCCAGCAGCCGCGGUAAUACGUAGGGUGCAAGCGUUAAUCGGAAUUACUGGGCGUAAAGCGUGCGCAGGCGGUUUUGUAAGACAGUGGUGAAAUCCCCGGGCUCAACCUGGGAACUGCCAUUGUGACUGCAAGGCUGGAGUGCGGCAGAGGGGGAUGGAAUUCCGCGUGUAGCAGUGAAAUGCGUAGAUAUGCGGAGGAACACCGAUGGCGAAGGCAAUCCCUGGGCCUGCACUGACGCUCAUGCACGAAAGCGUGGGGAGCAAACAGGAUUAGAUACCCUGGUAGGCGU